rnacentral:lncRNA from 1 species
UUGCAUUUGCUUCAGAACAUAUUGCAUUAUUAGUUACUAGGGGAGGCUAGGGAUAGCAAGCUGAUAAUUAGUAAUAGGUUGUUUUCACCAAGGAAUUGGGCUAAGGGUAACUAAGAAAGUUUGCAUGAAAAUUAGAUAAAUAAGUGAAUUAAAUAAGAAGAGUAGAUAUAUGAGAGUGGAUAAGAUGAUAUUGUAAACCCCAA